AAGUCCAUGCUUAUUAUUGCUUUCCUGCUUGCCACUGUAGCAGGAGGGCCAGAGGCAGGACUAAGAGCAAAUCUUCCUCUCAGAUUAGGAGGGCUGUCCUGAGAUGGGGCUGACUCUUAAAGGCACAAGAGGACACU
rnacentral:snoRNA from 15 species